rnacentral:rRNA from 1 species
AGCCUGCCCAGUGACAAAGUUAAACGGCCGCGGUACCCUAACCGUGCAAAGGUAGCGCAAUCACUUGUUCUUUAAAUGAGGACUAGUAUGAACGGCAUCACGAGGGUUAAGCUGUCUCCCUGCUUUAAUCAGUUAAACUGAUCUUCCCGUGAAGAAGCGGGAAUAAACUUAUAAGACGAGAAGACCCCAUGGAGCUUAAAACUCAGUAUCACCUGCUAUUUUAUAAACCCAAUAAACAAUGCAAUACUGAUUCCUAGUUUUCGGUUGGGGUGACCACGGAGUAAAACAAAACCUCCGCAACGAAAGGACCUAAUUACCUAAUCCAAGAGCUACAACUCUAAGAAUCAAUAAAUUGACUAAACUGACCCAAUUAUUUGAUCAAUGAACCAAGUUACCCUGGGGAUAACAGCGCAAUCCAUUUCAAGAGCCCCUAUCGACAAAUGGGUUUACGACCUCGAUGUUGGAUCAGGGCAUCCAAGUGGCGCAGCCGCUACUAAAGGUUCGUUUGUUCAACGAUUAAA